rnacentral:rRNA from 1 species
AUUGAACGCUGGCGGCAGGCUUAACACAUGCAAGUCGAGCGAGCGGCGGACGGGUGAGUAAUGUCUGGGAAACUGCCUGAUGGCGGGGGAUAACUAAUGGAAACGGUAGCUAAUACCGCAUACCAUCAGAUGUGCCCAGAUGGGAUGAGCUAGUAGGUGGGGUAACGGCUCACCUAGGCAACGAUCCCUAGCUGUUCUGAGAGGAUGAACAGCCCCACUGGAACUGAGACACGGUCCAGAGUCCUACGGGAGGCAGCAAUGGGACAUGUUGGACAAUGGGAGCAAGCCUGAUCCAGCCAUGCCGCGUGUGUGAAGAAGUCCGUCGGGUUGUAAAGCACUUUCAGCGGGGAGGCGUUACCAGCAGAAGAAGCACCGGCUAACUCCGUGGCAGCAGCCGCGGUAAUAC